GAUACACCAACUUCCAGGAUCAAAUUUCCAAAGCCUUUCUCUUAUUUGGGAUGUUUCAAAGUUCAUAAGAGCCUCAAGUGGACUCCGGGCAAUGCUUGCACCCAAAAUACAUUGCAGAAUUAGAUUAUAGUGCAGUGUGGAAGAGCCAGCCCUCAAAUGUCUAAGUUCAAAGGGAACUCAAGGUCCCAAAGCAUGGUUCAUAGGAGGGGAGCAGAAUUUAGAUUCUAAGAGUAAGUGUAAGUGCAUAGAGGGGAGUUAGGGAAGAUCAUGGCAGGAUGGUGGUCAUGCUCAGCAAUUAAGUGUGCUGGCACACCCCUGACCAGCCUGUUAGCCAAAUCUUAAGAGUUAGGAUCCAUUGAGGUGACCUGGCUAGUAAUUUGAAUACUGCUAGGCCAUGAGCCUUAACUCAAACACAUAGAAGGGAGUAGGGGUAGGGAUUCACACAGAAACAGAUGCAAGAAAAGAACAUGCAUAGUCAAUAUUGCACAUAAACAACAACGUAGAUUAGAGUAAGGCAAAUAUAAAGUAAACACUUAGGGAGAAAGCAGAAAUCAAAACUGAGAAAUACCAGUUUCAGGAAAACAAAUAAGUAAAACAGUAGUCCUGAAAAUCCAAGUUGCAAGUAAACAGUACAAAGAUCUUAGAAGAGGGUAGAGUGUUGAAAGAGCAUUAUCAGUGUGAGAAUAUUGAGCUUGAAGUGUUCAAUAAUCAAUGCGUGAAUAGAAGGGUUGUGCCCCUUUUAUAUUGCAGCAAGCAAGUAAGAAAAGGUAAGAAAAUAACAUUGAAAUCAAUCUCCCUUUAAUUAAGGACUCUGAUUUCAAACGGGCAAAGACAAUUGAGGAAAGAAUUUAUCAGAGUACUUUCUCAAGCAGUACAAAAAGGAUGAAUAAAUGAAGUUAUUUAAGGCAAAAGUCCAGUGGUAUUUGGCUUGUGAAAAAAUAAGGAAAGCGAAUCAAUCAUACAGCCAGUAAAAUCAAAGUUACAGGUUUUUACUCGAAUGAACCAAGUCAGGAAAAGGUAAAGAAGGUUUCAUUUAAAGGAAAUCAGUAACAACCAUUAAACCCCGUUAAAGGAAUUCAGAAUCAAUUAUUAGUUGGCAAAACCUUUUUGAAAGAAGAAUUUCUCAUAUAUAAAGCAGACAAAUCAAACAAAAGAGGUCGUCAUGUUACUUAGAAAGGAGUCUAAUAUUAAAAGGUUUAAAAUUAUAAGUAAAAGAUACAAGUCUAGUUUGUAGACUCAAAGUAAGUCUUAGAGUCCAGGGUUCCAAUGCAGAAUCAUAGUCAAAAAAUCAAACCAAACUUGCCAAAGAAACCUCCACCCCCCAAAUCCUAGGGUUUCAAAUCGAAUCAGACAUAGAGAUGAGAAGGCAAUCCAUUGAAACAGACUUCAAAGAUCUAUUUUAGAGCCUCAGGAGAAACAAAAUAAAUAUAAUAGCAGGUUUAAAACAACAAAGAAAGAAAGCUGAUUUAAGAGCAUAAAAGAACAUGUUUUAGAAAAGUCAGAUCUUAAGCAAGUGGUGUAAACCUAAGCCACAGUAGAUAGAACAUGCUUAGCAAGAACACAAACAGACUCCAGUGGAGCAAACAAAAUAAAAAAAACUCAACAGAAAACACAUAGAGUAGAAUAAUAUCGGAAAGUAUACGAAGAGCAUGUAGGAAAAUAUAGUAAAGAUUAACAUACAGAUCUAGUCUUAGAGGCAAUGUAGAACACAAAGCAACAUGAGUAUCAUGUAUAGCAGAAAAAAAACAUACCCGUAGUAAAAGGGAAACACAUGAGCAUGAUAUAGACAAACACACAUGAAGAAUAAAAGAAGAAGAAUCAGAAAAGAAGAAACUCUAAAUCGACGACGAGUGAUUUUGAAAAGCAAAAUUUGGGGAAAAUACUUCAAAUGUCUGGUAGAACACAAAUACAUCAGAGAUCUAAGAAAAUAAACGGAGAAAAAACCUCGAACAGCUUAGGGUUUCGGAGAAACCCUAGAAAAUGAGAAAGGCUUAGAAAGGUCAUAUCCUGGGUCGAUGUGGUCAGGAAUCGGGCUUCCCGUGCUUGAAUGUGUCGGAGCAUAGCCGGAGAAGCCAUGGAAUCCAAAGAUCUGAAAGAGAACCAUCGAAGUCAAACUUCAAAACCUUGAACACCCAAGUUCCAAUGGUGGACAGGGGGAAGUAUAGACCAUCCAUGGCCUAAGAAGCCAUGGAUUACGGUGAAAGUACGGUGAGAAAAGGUAGGAGAAGGCUAGGGUUCCAAGAACCUUGAGAGAUAAUUGGGAGAAAGAGUAAUCAAAG
rnacentral:lncRNA from 1 species